CUGAAACCAAAAGAGAUGCCUGAGAGCUGUGCCGAUUGAGGGAGCGCACAUCCUAGCCUGAUGGCUGUCAAGACCUUACUCUGUGGGAGGAGGACACGGCAUUCAUCUCAUCCUGAACCACAUGUGCCAUGGGAUACUAGGCAAAAUCAAUGUCUUUGGUCUUGUUAAUAGUUGACCUUGGGCUUCCCAGAAAAACCUUCAAGAUCUGAGUUCAUAACUUUGCUGGAGAUUGACGGGUGGAAUAAGAUGUUCAAGUGAUGAACAUGAAGAGAAACAAAUCUCUGUAAGGCAAUCCUACCUGGCUAUAACGUCUUCUUUGGAUAAAUGGAAGAAUGGUGUAAAAAAAAGUGUUUUACAACUUUAGAAAUAAAAAAAUACAAGAGAAAAAUUAAAUUAGAUAAUAACCUGAAGAAAAUCAGCUUAUUCCUCAGGAUGGAUGGUAUGAACCGGCUUCACCAAAAGUAGGAUAUUUCACAGUGUUUUGCUAAUGUGGGAAUCUUGAAGUAUAGUGUUGACAGGUAAAGAUGUUGGAAAAUAUAAUGAUUUUUAAUGUUUUUAAAAGCAUGAUUUGAUUUUAAAGAAACUGUUAUU